AUCUUUCUCUGCUCCGAUUGCAACGCUGCCUCGUUCAAAAAUCAUAACACCGCCGCGGCCGCCACGUUUACCAGCCGGAGCCUCAAAUCAUGUCCCUUUGUGGUGAUAAAGAGGACACAGCCUGGUGUGAAGCUACAUUUAUUACGGAAGGAUGCCAGCCGGGAUCCGAACACGUCCGAUAUCAUCCAAGAGAAUGUGGCAGCUGAAGGGGGAGAGUCCAAGAAAGAGGCCAAGGGUGAAAACAUUUAGCCACCCCCCCUGAAGUACAUGGCAUCAUUCAACCCUCUUGGUGAGCUGCAGGAAUGUGCUUCCCAUUGCAGUGCACCAGCUCCAUGUACUGAUUUUGGUGUGAACUUGAUGGGAUUGGAGGAAACUCGACUCGGCCAUGAAGCUCACCACAAUAUAACAUGAAAAGUGAAAAUUGCUGCACACAACAGUCUGUCGUCUGCACCGGGAGGCAAGGCAGCUCAAAGCCCAGGCUGUUACAAAUCCUGGGCAGUUUUUGCCCAGAGCCAGCAAUUUUUUAGAUCCAAUAGGGAUGGAUUUUUUCUGAGGUCAGGUUCAACAUGCUGCAAGAUGCCAAGAUCUAAGCCUAGUAGGAGAUAUGGGUUACAAGAGAGGAGGUUUGCUCUGGCCUUAUACUAUCAAAGUCCAAAUGCUAAUAGAUUUCUGAGCACAGUAUUUCACUUGUCUUCAGCUUCAACACUUCACUCAUGACUCAGGGGUAUUUCAGUACAUGUUGGCUGGAGCAAACAGACUCUGACAGCCCUGCAGCAAAGAGCACAGGCUUUGUCAAAAGAAGAGAAACUUCGUGGGAUUUGCCAUUAUUUAGUAUUACUCUUGUUACGCCAAGAAUUUUUUUCCAUAUACUUUGCCAAAUAUUGCAAGUAAUGCACCAUUGUUGGGCUUGCUUGUUAUAAAUCAGAUCUUGUUCAAUUAACAAGCUUUGGGUGUCUGCCACUUUCCAGUUGUAAUGCAAGGAAUCAUUUAUCUUCCCUGCUAGAUAUCACACGUAAUGCACCAUUGUUGGUUUUGCUUGUUAUAAAUCAGAUCUUGUUCAGUUAAAAAGCUUUAGGUGUCUGCCACUUUCCAAUUGUAAUGCAAGGAAUCCC